GACGAACGCUGGCGGCGUGCUUAACACAUGCAAGUCGAACGGAAAGGCCCUGCUUUUGUGGGGUGCUCGAGUGGCGAACGGGUGAGUAACACGUGAGUAACCUGCCCUUGACUUUGGGAUAACUUCAGGAAACUGGGGCUAAUACCGGAUAGGAGCUCCUGCUGCAUGGUGGGGGUUGGAAAGUUUCGGCGGUUGGGGAUGGACUCGCGGCUUAUCAGCUUGUUGGUGGGGUAGUGGCUUACCAAGGCUUUGACGGGUAGCCGGCCUGAGAGGGUGACCGGCCACAUUGGGACUGAGAUACGGCCCAGACUCCUACGGGAGGCAGCAGUGGGGAAUAUUGCACAAUGGGCGGAAGCCUGAUGCAGCAACGCCGCGUGCGGGAUGACGGCCUUCGGGUUGUAAACCGCUUUCGCCUGUGACGAAGCGUGAGUGACGGUAAUGGGUAAAGAAGCACCGGCUAACUACGUGCCAACAGCCGCGGUGAUACGUAGGGUGCGAGCGUUGUCCGGAUUUAUUGGGCGUAAAGGGCUCGUAGGUGGUUGAUCGCGUCGGAAGUGUAAUCUUGGGGCUUAACCCUGAGCGUGCUUUCGAUACGGGUUGACUUGAGGAAGGUAGGGGAGAAUGGAAUUCCUGGUGGAAGCGUGGAAUGCGCAGAUAUCAGGAGGACACCCAGUGGCGAAAGGCGGUUCUCUGGCUUUUCCUGACGCUGAGGAGCGAAAGCGUGGGGAGCGAACAGGCUUAGAUACCCUGGUAGUCCACGCUGUAAACGGUGGGUACUAGGUGUGGGGUCCAUUCCACGGGUUCCGUGCCGUAGCUAACGCUUUAAGUACCCCGCCUGGGGAGUACGGCCGCAAGGCUAAAACUCAAAGGAAUUGACGGGGCCCCGCACAAGCGGCGGAGCAUGCGGAUUAAUUCGAUGCAACGCGUAGAACCUUACCUGGGUUUGACAUGGAUCGGGAGCGCUCAGAGAUGGGUGUGCCUCUUUUGGGGUCGGUUCACAGGUGGUGCAUGGCUGUCGUCAGCUCGUGUCGUGAGAUGUUGGGUUAAGUCCCGCAACGAGCGCAACCCUUGUUCACUGUUGCCAGCACGUUAUGGUGGGGACUCAGUGGAGACCGCCGGGGUCAACUCGGAGGAAGGUGGGGAUGACGUCAAGUCAUCAUGCCCCUUAUGUCCAGGGCUUCACGCAUGCUACAAUGGCUGGUACAGAGAGUGGCGAGCCUGUGAGGGUGAGCGAAUCUCGGAAAGCCGGUCUCAGUUCGGAUUGGGGUCUGCAACUCGACCUCAUGAAGUCGGAGUCGCUAGUAAUCGCAGAUCAGCAACGCUGCGGUGAAUACGUUCCCGGGGCU
rnacentral:rRNA from 1 species